AGGGCGGCGGCUGUGCGCAGGCGCGGUCCCGCUCACCGUGACCCUGCGACCCCGCGACCCCGAUGUCCUCGCGGAGGAUGGCGGCCAUCCGGGCUCUGGUAGCGUCCAGGCUGGCGUUGACCCCCGCCUUCGCGCCGCGCCCCGGCCUGCGUCCGCUGCCGUUCGGCGGACCGGCGCCGUCUCCGCGCGCGGCCCUCCACGCCUCCGCGCCGCGCCCCGUGGCCAGGGUCGCAGUGGUGCUGUCCGGAUGCGGGGUCUACGACGGGACGGAGCUCCACGAGGCCUCAUCGAUACUGGUUCACCUGAGCCGUGCGGGGGCCGAGGUCCAGAUCUUUGCUCCUGACAUCCCUCAGAUGCACGUGAUUGACCACACCAAGGGGCAGCCUUCUGAGGGCGAAACCAGGAACGUUCUGACUGAGUCCGCGAGGAUCGCCCGCGGCAAGAUCACCGACCUGGCCAAACUCAGCGCUGCUAACCACGACGCGGCCGUCUUCCCCGGGGGCUUCGGAGCUGCCAAAAACCUGAGCACGUUCGCCGUAGAUGGGGGCGACUGCAAGGUGAAUAAAGACGUGGAGCGCGUCCUGAAGGAGUUCCACCAGGCCGGGAAGCCCAUCGGCUUGUGCUGCAUCGCUCCCGUCCUCGCGGCCAAAGUGCUCAGAAGUGUCGAGGUCACCGUGGGCCACGAGCAGGAGGAAGGCGGCAAGUGGCCACAUGCCGGGACCGCGCAGGUCAUCAAAGCCCUGGGUGCCAAGCACUGUGUGACGGGAGUGACCAUAUCCUUCCAGCAGCGGGGGCGACAUGGGAAACCCCCCUCUGGCCCCUCGGGACCGCCCUGGGGUGCUGCACAGCCAGGGCACCCAGAGCAUGUGCGUGGAGGGGCGUAGUGCCCGAGGCUGUGACCCCUCCGCCAUCCAGUGGCCACGUUCCCAAGUCCCCGCAGUGAUGCUGGCUGAGCUCAGCACACCCCAGGCCCGGGGCUCAGUGGGUCGGGUGAGGAGACGGCGUGGGCUCGCGUGGGGUGGGGUAGGGCGCUGCCUGUGGCGGAGGGAGAGUGAGUACCCGGUGCCGGGCCAGAGGCUGGGGUGGAAGGCGAGGGGGCUGCGCGUCUUUAUCUGGUGGCAGUCCCCUGGGUGGCACAGAUGGAGAGCCACCCCCGGCAGCCUUGUCGCCCCCAUUCCUCCCGCAAGCGGGUCCACUGUGUCCUGAGGUCACCAGGGUGCGCUGCGGGUGUAGAGGGCCUCAGGCCACAGGCUGCCCGCCUUCCAGCUCUGCGCCUGGACCUGAGGGUCUCCAUGGGGGCUGGAGUCAGGAGCAGAAGAGUGCGGGGCCCCAGGCGGUGCAGGAGACCAGCCCGUUAUCCUCCGGCGUCUGUCCUGGCCGGGGCGUGCGCUCCUCGGUGUGUCUCUACUUGCAGGCAGUUUCAGGUGUGAAUGUCCCUCCCCGUCCAGCACAGAGCGGCCAGCCCCGGGCCUGGGGCUUGGCGUUGGCCCAGGAAGCAGGUCUCAGGGAGGAGUGUUCUUCCGUAACCUGUGUGCACGAGGCCCACGUAGACCAGAGGAACAAGGUGGUCACCACCCCGGCCUUCAUGUGUGACGC